UUGAAGAGAGAGUUCAAGAGUACGUGAAACCGUUCAGGGGUAAACCUGAGAAACCCAAAAGAUCGAAUGGGGAGAUUCAUCGUCAGCGGCUUUGGCUUACCUUUGGAUUUUGUGAUGUUUGUAUGACUUCGGUUAAUUACAGCACACUGCCAUCGGAUAUGUCUGAAGUUGUCGGCGUGCACUUCUCCUCUAGUAGAACGUCGUGACCCGCUGGUUAUUGGUCUACGGUGCGAGUGGUUGCCUGUCUCGUAGCAUGUUCACAUGCUUACGUGGCAGACCCUCGUUAACCUGACCUAUUAUCUGGCGGUAAACAUUAUGGUAUUGGGCCGCAUAUAAAUGUGCGUUCAGACCCAUCACAAGUGAGAUCAGUGUUCUAGAGGUGCGGACUUAGUGCCGUCCCUGGGCUUGAUCAGCUGUUGGUUGAUGGUGUUCUCGGACAGGCUCGUUGAAAGAAUUGAAUACCGGUCGACGACGCUAUUGCUUUGGGUACUUUCAGGA
rnacentral:rRNA from 1 species